rnacentral:lncRNA from 1 species
UCUGCUUAGGAAAGGCAAAUAGAACAUAUUUAACUAGAUGAGAAGCUAUUAAAUUUUCCAUCCUUUGCAUGAGUUAUGCUAUGAAGCACUUCUAUUCAAAACGGUAAAUGCAGAUCAAAAUGUUAUCAUGGAACUCAAGUUUCCCAAUCCUCACGAUUUAUGCUGUGAAUUCUCAAACUCCAAUUGAGGCGAUACAUUAAGACGAAAGACGAAUAAAAAAGAAAGUAAAACAUAAAACAAAAUACGCAUGCAAAUGAUGAAAACAUAGUGAAGGUAUCACUCACCAGUUCGUCAAUUAACCACAUCAUUCUUGUUUUCUGCCUGUUCCCUCUGGUACCAAGAUCUCUAUAAGCUUCUAAUAUUGUUUUGCAAACAGGGACUACAUC